GUGGGGAAUAUUGCACAAUGGGCGCAAGCCUGAUGCAGCCAUGCCGCGUGUGUGAAGAAGGCCUUCGGGUUGUAAAGCACUUUCAGCGGGGAGGAAGGCGGUGAGGUUAAUAACCUCAUCGAUUGACGUUACCCGCAGAAGAAGCACCGGCUAACUCCGUGCCAGCAGCCGCGGUAAUACGGAGGGUGCAAGCGUUAAUCGGAAUUACUGGGCGUAAAGCGCACGCAGGCGGUCUGUCAAGUCGGAUGUGAAAUCCCCGGGCUCAACCUGGGAACUGCAUGCGAAACUGGCAGGCUAGAGUCUUGUAGAGGGGGGUAGAAUUCCAGGUGUAGCGGUGAAAUGCGUAGAGAUCUGGAGGAAUACCGGUGGCGAAGGCGGCCCCCUGGACAAAGACUGACGCUCAGGUGCGAAAGCGUGGGGAGCAAACAGGAUUAGAAACCCGGGUAGUCC
rnacentral:rRNA from 1 species